rnacentral:rRNA from 1 species
UACGGUAGGGUGCGAGCGUUGUCCGGAAUUAUUGGGCGUAAAGGGCUCGUAGGCGGUCUGUUGCGUCAGGAGUGAAAACCUCGGGGCUUAACCCCGAGCCUGCUUCUGAUACGGGCAGACUAGAGGUAUGCAGGGGAGAACGGAAUUCCUGAUGUAGCAGGUCGGUGAAAAUGCGCAGAUAUCGGGAGGAACACCAAUGGCGAAGGCAGCUCGCUGGGACGGUACUGACGCUGAGGUGCGAAAGCGUGGGGAGCAACAGG